GUCUAUGAUUGCAUGAAAGAAGUUAAUGCUGACCCCAACCAUAACCCCUCAACUUCUAAAUACUAAACCCUAAAUUUUAGUCAUUAAACCCUAAUCCAAAUAUACCCUAAACCCUAAACCUAAAUAAAUAGAUUAAGCUAAACCCUAAUCAUGGAAGUAUAAACCCAAAUAGAAUGUAUAUAAUAUGGUUUACUAUACCCAAACCGUUACUUAGUAAAUCUAAACCCUAGGCAGGAACCUAUAAACCCAAACUCAAAUAUAAACACAAAACACAAAUACAAUGGAACAAAAUAAAUAACAUAGUACAUAUUGGUGAAACUAUAAAAUGUCUAUGAUUGCAUGAAAGAAGUUAAUGCUGACCCCAACCAUACUCCCUCACCUUCUAAAUACUAAACCCUAAAUUCUAGUCACUAAACCCUAAUCCAAAUAUACCCUAAACCCUAAACCUAAAUAAAUAUUAAGCUAAACCCUAAUCAAGGAAGUAUAAACUCAAAUAGAAUGUACAUAAUAUGGUUUACUAUACCCAAACCGUUACUUAGUAAAUCUAAACCCUAGGCAGGAACCUAUAAACCCAAACUCAAAUAUAAACACAAAACCCAAAUAGAAUGGAACAAAAUAAAUAACAUAGUAUAUAUUGGUGAAACUAUAAAAUGUCUAUGAUUGCAUGAAAUAAGUUAAUGCUGACCCCAACCAUACCCUCUCACCUUCUAAAUACUAAACCCUAAAUUCUAGUCACUAAACCCUAAUCCAAAUAUACCCUAUACCCUAAACCUAAAUAAAUAGAUUAAGAUAAACCCUAAUCAAGGAAGUAUAAACCCAAAUAGAAUGCAUAUAAUAUGGUUUACUAUACCCAAACAUUUACUUAGUAAAUCUAAACCCUAGGCAGGAACCUAUAAACCCAAAUACAAUCUAUAAAUUGUUUUCCAAUAUUAAAC
rnacentral:lncRNA from 1 species